CCUACGGGAGGCAGCAGUGGGGGAUAUUGCACCAUGGGCGCAAGCCUGAUGUAGCGACGCCGCGUGAGCGAAGAAGUAUUUCGGUAUGUAAAGCUCUAUCAGCAGGGAAGAAAAUGACGGUACCUGACUAAGAAGCUCCGGCUAAAUACGUGCCAGCAGCCGCGGUAAUACGUAUGGACCAAGCGUUAUCCGGAUUUACUGGGUGUAAAGGGAGCGUAGGCGGCCCUGUAAGUCUGAUGUGAAAAUUUUGGGCGCAAACCCAAACGUGAAUUGGACACUGCAUGGCUUGAGUGCCGGAGAGGCAGGCGGAAUGACUAGUGUAGCGGUGAAAUGCGUAGAUAGUAGGAGGAACACCAGUGGCGAAGGCGGCCUGCUGGAGGGUAACUGACGCUGAGGCUCGAAAGCGUGGGGAGCAAACAGGAUUAGAUACCCUAGUAGUC
rnacentral:rRNA from 1 species